UUGUUCUUUUUUUAAAUGUUUGACAGCAUAACAAUAUUACGUUUUACAAUCAUAACAUUUUCAACUGUAUAAUAGAAUGAUUACAAGAUUAUUUUAGUUUUUAAUAGAAAGAACGCGGAAUAUCUUAGAAGACCUGAAGAUCUUAUCGUCAGGAACCGCUUUGUUUUUAAUCUACAUUGUUACAUUUAUUGUGUUAAAUAUGUAUAUUCUCGUCGAAAGUAAAAACAAAUAAACGUAAAAGAUAAAUAACAUUCAUAUAUGUAAAUACUAGCUUGUUAGACAUCGAGUUGGAAAAAAAGAGUUUGGCGAAAAAAUAAGAAACAGAACAAUCGUAGUAACGUUUUAAACUAUAAAUAUAAAAGCUCGAUAUUGGAAAAUUACGUAGAAGCAAAACUUUGGCAACAAGAUCUAUUCGUCAGUGAAGAUUUUUGCGAACAAACGAUACAAAUAAGAAGAAAGUUGUUUACUGAAGCAUAGGAGUUACGAUUGAAACGCAAGUAUGCAAAAGUAGUUUAUAAUAAAAUAAUAACACGCGAUUAACUAAAAAAAACUUCUUUAUUUAAAAAUUAUGAAAAACAUAAACUAAUGACUUUAAACUUAAGGAAAACUUGAUCUUGAUUUAAAUUUUUGUUAUGAUACAGGUGCUUUACAAGAUAACUGCUCUUAUUUUUAUAAAAA